rnacentral:lncRNA from 1 species
UUAAAACGUAAAUGUUAUCAUAGAAGAAAAGAUAAAUGUCAAACUCUACGAAAACACUUAUAAACGUUACAAUCCACUAAAUCCGAGAAAAUCAAACACCAUACAUCCUCCUCGUCUCUUAUACAAUAAAGUUGGCUUGUCUCUCUCCUUAGAGAGCCACGUCAUCAAAGAGCAUGGGAAAAACAGACACGUGGCUUCUCC